GGUGGGAUGGCCGAGUUGGUUAUGGCGCCAGGUUAAGGUACACCCUUGACAUCAAGUUUAGGAUCAUACAUCUUAAUCUCCUGGUUCGGAAACGAGCGUGGGUUCGAGUCCCACUCCCAUCA